CUUUGGUUAAUUAGAGAAAAAGUUUUUGAGCAUAUUACGCUUCCACCAACCGAGUAGUAUAAAUUGAUGGACCGACCCCCAAUCAUGUACUGGGUGGUGAGGGCCCCAAUCUAUUCAUUAUUUAUUACUUUUUGUUUUAUGAAUGAAAUCGGACGGCCAUGCAAAUUUUUUAUAUUCAUAACCAACGGUCACGAUUAAUUAAUUAAUAUUAUUU
rnacentral:lncRNA from 1 species